GAUGAACGCUGGCGGCGUGCCUAAUACAUGCAAGUCGAGCGAACGGACGAGAAGCUUGCUUCUCUGAUGUUAGCGGCGGACGGGCGAGUAACACGUGGAUAACCUACCUAUAAGACUGGGAUAACUUCGGGAAACCGGAGCUAAUACCGGAUAAUAUUUUGAACCGCAUGGUUCAAAAGUGAAAGAAGGUCUUGCUGUCACUUAUAGAUGGCUCAGCGCUGCAUUAGCUAGUUGGUAAGGUAACGGCUUACCAAGGCAACGAUGCAUAGCCGACCUGAGAGGGUGAUCGGCCACACUGGAACGGAGACACGUUCCAGACCCCGACGGGAGGCAGCAGUAGGGAAUCUUCCGCAAUGGACGAAAGCCUGACGGAGCAACGCCGCGUGAGUGAUGAAGGUCUUCUGAUCGUAAAGCUCUGUUAUUAGUGAAGAACAUAUGUGUAAGUAACUGUGCACAUCUUGACGGUACCUAAUCAGAAAGCCACGGCUAACUACGUG
rnacentral:rRNA from 1 species